CGCGCAGCAUUCUGUAGCAAUACAGGGUGUGGGCGCGUGGCGAACGGGUGCGUAACACGUGGAUAACCUUCCUUCAGGUGGGGAAUAACCCAGUGAAAAUUGGGCUAAUACCGCAUAACAUGACGAUGCCACAUGGUGUUGUCUUCAAAGCCGCAAGGCGCCAGAAGAGGGAUCCGCGGCCGAUUAGCUUGUUGGCGAGGUAAUGGCUCACCAAGGCUUUGAUCGGUAGCCGGACUGAGAGGUUGGCCGGCCACACUGGAACUGAGACACGGUCCAGACUCCUACGGGAGGCAGCAGUGGGGAAUCUUGCACAAUGGACGAAAGUCUGAUGCAGCAACGCCGCGUGGGGGAUGAAGCUUUUCGGAGUGUAAACCCCUUUCGACCCGGAAGAAUGCCCGCAAGGGUUUGACGGUACGGGUAUAAGAAGCCCCGGCUAACUACGUGCCAGCAGCCGCGGUAAUACGUAGGGGGCCAGCGUUGCUCGGAAUUACUGGGCGUAAAGGGUCCGUAGGCGGUGUGGCAAGUCGGGAGUGAAAUCUCUGGGCUUAACCCAGAGGCUGCUUCCGAAACUGCCAUGCUAGAGUGUGAGAGAGGCGAGUGGAAUUACGGGUGUAGCGGUGAAAUGCGUAGAUAUCCGUAGGAACAUCCGAGGCGAAGGCGGCUCGCUGGAUCACAACUGACGCUGAGGGACGAAAGCUAGGGGAGCAAACAGGAUUAGAUACCCUGGUAGUCCUAGCCCUAAACCAUCA
rnacentral:rRNA from 1 species